rnacentral:tRNA from 1 species
GGAUUGUGGCUCAGCGGAAGAGCGUUCUCCUAGCAUGCGUGGGGCCCUGGGUUCCAUCCUCAGCACCA